ensembl:lncRNA
AUGGAGCCGCAUGCCUUCGGUCCGGAGACCCCCGCGGUGAACAGAGGCCGGGAAGUACCCGGAUGCUCGGUGGACUCGUACCGCCAGGUAACAGCAGGUGCUCGGGGGCUCCAGACCACCUCCCAGCAGCCUCUCUGUCUCCGUCCCGGGCUCCACGCUCGCCCUCUGGGGGGGGGGGGGGUCCAUGCGCGCUCUCCCCCCCCCCCCCCCUUGCCACUCGGCUCCCCCCCCCCCCCCUCGCCCCCCCCUCGGAUCUGCUGCUUUGUCCUCAACUUGCGGAAUACAAACAUCUCGAGAAGGACCUCAGCAGCACCUCGCGCGCUCUUCUUGAGUCCUGAUGGAGAGCAUCUCCACGCUUCAGGAACCAGGGAGGGAGCAUCUUCAGACCUCUUUUCUGGAGCAGGAUUCACAUGGCAAUCAGGUCAGGACACGUCGAGGAGAGGACAGAGCUGUCCUCGUGCAGGGGACGCGCUGCCGGGCGGCUUUGGGGGUGCUUUUGGAAGGGUGGUGUUUUUGUGGUUCCUGUGUGUGAUUAUCUUUAGAGUAGAACACGAUGCUGGAGGAGAGCGGCGCUGAGUGUCUUCAGGAGGCAGCGUUGCUGUCUGUAAAUACCCCCCCCUCCCCUCCUCACCCCCCCGAACACAGCUCUGCCACCUGAUUGUGACAACGGCGUCUCCCAUCCUCCUGCUCCGACAGCCUGAUUGAGGUCACGUGCCCCCCCACACACCGUGGUACUACAGAGCAGACUGUUUGAUCCGCUCCGGUCCUGAAUCCGGUCCUGAAUCCGGUCUUUGUUUGUCUGGGGACCCCCCCCCCCCCACAGGGUCUUAUUGCUUCUGGAUACCUAUUGUAGAUAUAUCGAUCUAUGAUGCGAUUUAAGGUUCUUAAGUCAAUUUUACCGGUUUAUCAUUUGAUGCAACAAUGUCAAACCUCUGAAAGUGGAAGAUUAGCUCUGUUGUGUCUGAUGAGUGAAGGCGAGCGGCGAGUUGAUAAUGAACAGUAACAGGUUGCAGCCUCCUGUGUGUUGGUGCAAAUCCGCACCACUUCUCCUUCGGUGGUCACUUGAAGGACGUUUUCUGAACCAACCAGGCAUUCAUCCUGAAGAACUGCCCCCCCACACAUGCUCAAUGCCCCCCCGCUCCCGGUCUCAGACGGGGGGUGGAAGCAUGCGCUCAUAUGUCCGUGUGCGCAUGCGUGCAUGUCUGAGCCAUCUGAUUCCUCUCCUUUGUGUGCGUGCGGAGCGGACGUGGAGGCAUGCGCCUUUUCUCUCCGCGCCGAGAAUCAAAAAGGGGCGCACAAGGAGGAGUGAGGGCUCCCACAGUUGAUUUGGCCAUUGUGUAUGUGGAGGGGGGGCAGGGGGGGGGGGGGGGGCACUAUUCCCAUUGAGGCUCUGGACGCAUGGCUGAGACCCCUAGAAGCUUUAGGCAGGCCGGCUCAUUCAGGGCUGGAUGUGACCCGGAGGGCCGGGGAGGGACGACGUGCCAUUGAGCCCUUUGUGGGGGACGGUGGGAACAUUGUCCCCGCUCUGCUGCUUCAACACCACGGUGCCCCCCCCCCCACCCCCCCCCCACCGCACACCCUCCCGGCUCAGAGAGCUCAAGGUUACAGGUCUCACCCGCUCCUCAGAGACAUUCACCACCGAGGGGGUUCUGAUUCUGGACUAAAUGUCACUGUUAGGUGGAGAUGAGGGUUCCUGACCAUCAUUUAUUGUCAGUGUACAACACACAUAAGGACCAGGUGCCGUUCUGCUGUAGUCCACCUGCAUCCCAACCAAGACCAGACCACUACAGAGAACCACAAAGGACCCUCCAGGAUUCUACCUGUUCAAUUAGCAUCAUAAGAAACCAAUUAUCUGCUCAGAUAACAUCAACAAGAGGGAAACCUGAACGGUGAACGAGCCCCAGGCAUCCAGAGUCCCCCUCCCUCUGGUCC